rnacentral:rRNA from 1 species
AUUGAACGCUGGCGGCAGGCCUAACACAUGCAAGUCGAACGAGUGGCGGACGGGUGAGUAAUGUCUGGGAAACUGCCUGUUGGAGGGGGAUAACUACUGGAAACGGUAGCUAAUACCGCAUACCAUCGGAUUUGCCCAGAUCGGAUUCUCUAGUAGGUGGGGUAAAGGCUCACCUAGGCGACGAUCCCUAGCUGGUCUGAGAGGAUGACCAGCCACACUGGAACUGAGACACGGUCCAGACUCCUACGGGAGGCAGCAGUGGGGAAUAUUGCACAAUGGGCGAAAGCCUGAUGCAGCCAUGCCGCGGGGAUGAAGAAGGCCUUCGGGUUGUAAAGUACUUUCAGCGGGGAGGCGGUACCCGCAGAAGAAGCACCGACUAACUCCGUGCCAGCAGCCGCGGUAAUAC